GAUGAACGCUGGCGGCGUGCCUAAUACAUGCAAGUCGAGCGAACAGACGAGGAGCUUGCUCCUUUGACGUUAGCGGCGGACGGGUGAGUAACACGUAGGUAACCUACCUAUAAGACUGGGAUAACUUCGGGAAACCGGAGCUAAUACCGGAUAAUAUUUCGAACCGCACGGUUCGAUAGUGAAAGAUGGCUUUGCUAUCACUUAUAGAUGGACCUGCGCCGUAUUAGCUAGUUGGUAAGGUAACGGCUUACCAAGGCAACGAUACGUAGCCGACCUGAGAGGGUGAUCGGCCACACUGGAACUGAGACACGGUCCAGACUCCUACGGGAGGCAGCAGUAGGGAAUCUUCCGCAAUGGGCGAAAGCCUGACGGAGCAACGCCGCGUGAGUGAUGAAGGUCUUCGGAUCGUAAAACUCUGUUAUUAGGGAAGAACAAACGUGUAAGUAACUGUGCACGUCUUGACGGUACCUAAUCAGAAAGCCACGGCUAACUACGUG
rnacentral:rRNA from 1 species